rnacentral:rRNA from 1 species
GGAUUCCCUCAGUAACGGCGAGUGAACAGGGAUUAGCCCAGCACCGAAGCCUGCGAUCAUUUGAUUGCUAGGCAAUGUGGUGUUUAGAUUGGUUUUUGGCAAUUCUGCUUCAUCCUAAGUCCAUCAAUGAGUACGGCUAAUGGACCGGCCCAAAGAGGGUGAAAGGCCCGUGUGGAUGAAGAUCAAAUGUGACAGAAUUGGCUUGAACUAAUCUUGGAGUCGGGUUGUUUGUGAAUGCAGCCCAAAGUGGGUGGUAGACUCCAUCCAAGGCUAAAUACUGGCACGAAUCCGAUAGCAAACAAGUACCGUGAGGGAAAGUUGAAAAGUACUUUGAAGAGAGAGUAAACAGUGCGUGAAACCGCUCAGAGGUAAACGGGUGGAGUUGAACUGGAAUCCCUGAGGAUUUAACUGAUGAGUAUGGCAUGCGCUUGAGUAUGUUGGCCAGCAUCGAGAGUUUGCUUAAUUGCUUUAACACGUUGCACUUGUCAGGUGUUGUGUGCUUUUGUUGCAUUGGGCUUGCUUGUCAGUGCAUUUUCUCGGGGUGAUCACCACGACCGGCGUGGUUGUCUGUUUGCUGCGGUUAAACCGAUCAAAUUUGGUCAUGUGACUAUGUUUGGUCGGGAUGGCAGGUAGCUUGUUUGCUCAAGUGUUAUCAGCUGACUGUAGUAAAUUUGUGCAAUAUGUCGGAGAUGACGGCUUUGCUGGCGCUGUUUUGCAAAUUACGUUGGGUUUGAUUGGCACGUACUUGUUUU